GCAACUUGAGGCAAUUUUGGGUAAGCGUGGGCUAUCUCCCCACCCUUGCCCUCCGAAGGCAAAGGUCACACGUUCGAAUCGUGUCGGGUGCGCCA
rnacentral:tRNA from 1 species